rnacentral:lncRNA from 1 species
AACUAUUUCUAGUUGAUUACUCCACACUUCUAAGCAGAGCAGAAUCAGGGUCAUCAGAGAUGGCAACAAGUGGUUCAGUUGUUCCAUACAAGAUCCGCCUUCUCAUUGCUGUAAUCGUUGUCACCCACCUUUCCUCCACCGGUAUGUCCCUCUUUCCCUCUGAUGUAAUUUGGAAAUGGACUGGACUAAUAUAUGUACAUUUUUCAAUAGAUGACCUGUUCCAUGAGUCGAUACACUACAAGAAAUGUGUUGCUCUAUGACGAAAAUUUUACGACAUAUUUGUUCUCGUCACAGAUCUAUGAUGUUUCUGGCUGAAAAUAUCAUAAAGUUUCACAUCCAAACAAAUUUAGUGACAAAGUUACGGAACAUCAUAAAAGUUGCCAUUGUAGUCAAAAAGAAAUCGUCACUAGUUGUUAUAGUUUUGUGAUGAUAUAAGCUUCGCGAAAACGUCAUAAACCAACCAGGGUCCCACAUGUAAGUUUAAGCUGAUAAAUAGGGUGGUAAAAUAAAAAGUAAGACGUGCUCCUCCCGUGGGUCGAACCUGUUACCGAUCGAAUGGGAAGUCUUUACCGCGAUCGGGUCCCACAUGUAAGUUUGAGGUAAGUCUUUACCGAUCGAAUGGCCGGCACUAUGCUUCGCUAGCUUCGCAAAGACUUUCGCUGCGCAGAUUUGCAACGGCUUGUGGCGGGAAUGGCGCAUCCUAGCGGCGACGGGAGGAUGAGGAGUCACGAUGAGGUCAGUCCCCUGGUUUGAGCCGCUACUUUCCCCUAUUGUCCUAGGGACUAGGGUGCCCGAUCUUCUGUCAGAUGAGGAUAACUCUCGAUUUGGUGGAGUAGCAACACACUCGAUCCUAUUUCUGAUAAGCAAGAUCAGGACUCCCCAAUUGAAACACCACUUCUCCUUUUGUUAUCAACCGUGCGUAGCCCAAUUAUCCUCGCCACGAAGCCUAAUCCUUGCCUGUGAAUCGAAGAACACAAGCAAGAAUAAGUUAGAUUCAAUCUAAAUAUUGCUAAUAAUAUGAAGCACAUGAGUUAGGGUCUCACAAACCGAUAAACGGUGAAACUGUUCAAAGACAGAUUGAUCUAAACAAAACAUGGGUGUCUAGGGAAGUGGCUACUGGGUUUUAUACAUUCAAGAGGUAGAGGCCAAGGGGAGGACGACCUAGGGAAUCCUUGGGGCGUUCUCCUCCUGGUUGGGGUGCACACCAACUUGGGCCUAAGUCCCAAGCAAACUUACAAAGCUUGAGGCUCGACAAAAGGUGAUGCGGCAUGCUGGCAGAUUCUAUAUGUCCACUUGUUUUGAUGAUUCCUGUUGACUCAUAUGGAAUUUUGAGAUGAGAUUAGUGCCAUUGGAAAGUGUAUCUUCUCAGCUUUCCAUGCAUAUAUAGAACAUUCAAAACAAACUCCGUAUGUUAAUUCUAAGGCAGGUUGCUCCUGGACUCUGAGGUAGACUCAAACUUGAUAUAGUUUGAACCUCCAACUUGGCUUGGAAGUCCUUGCUGGUCCUCUCCGCCUCCAUGCCUCUCUUCAAGUACUUCCUUAUCCUCCCUAUGAUUUCUAAUUAUCAUAAUAUCUUUAGGUAGCAAUCUAUUCUCAAAAUAACUAAAAAAAGAUUACAUAGGAAGGAGUUCACCUUAUCAUCCAUGACUCUCUCCAAAUAUUUCUUUGUCUUGUGUGUAUCCAUAGCAUGUCAUUAUCAUUCUCCCCUUCUUAAAGCAAACCGUCAUUGGUUUGACUGUAGUUGUAGAAGAUGUCAUGGAUAAUAACCAACAAUGUUCCCCUUCUUGGAAUUAUAUCUAUUUCUUUAAAACAAAACUAAAAGAACCUGAUAUUAUAGCAUUAGUGUUAUUGCAUAUCCCGCCUUGAUUAUAUUGUUGCACAGUCGAAGGAGAUUUCAGUUUUGAACAAAUAUUAACUCGGUGUACCAUAUAUUCUCCUUUACAAUUAUACUUGCCAAUAAAGUGAUAUAUAUGAGUAGACAUGUCAAUUCAAAAUAUGCAAAAAGUCUCUCCUCCAAAUAAUUUAAAUUACACAGAAUAUCAAAUUCAAUAUAACCCAAAGUAUUUAAAGAAGACAACAAUUUCAGCUCAUCAUGUGCACUAGUUAUGAGGACAAAAAAUUUAUUUAUAGCACAAGUAUUUGGAUCGAAAGUAGAAGUGUUGUGCUCAUUCUCUAGUUGUGACAUAGGAAUAAAAGAAUCACUAUCACACAACUCUUCUUUAUCAUAAGGAACAACAAGCAAAUCAUCUUGUGACAAGGAUAAAGCAAGUAAAGGUUCCGCUAACAGUUGCUCUAUAUUAGCAUGAUUGGUGGAAAAAUUCAGCAUAUCAAGACAAUUCUCACCUUCCGUGAGUGUAGCACUAUGUGCAUUACCUUUGCUCUUAUGUGCAGCAUAGUCGAAGGUGCAUCAUGACAUGAAGAUCCUGAAUGUUCACAUGAGGUGAUGUCGUCAUGCUCUUCCUCAUCCUUGUGUGGUUGAAUGUCCUGCAAAAGGUUAGAGACCACAGGAGGUAUAACAAUAGAUUGAUCAGUAGAAAAUACAUCAUGAUACCUUAGUGUGUCGUCAAAGCCCAAGGCAAAGUCCUUCAUGAUCAUCAUCGUCAUUGACUUUGUCACCCAAAACAACACCCUCAUCAAUGUUCUCCUCGACAUCAGAAGCAUUAAUAUAGCCGCCAUCCUCUGAAACAAUGUAUGCUCGUGGUUCUGGUGCAAACGUUGUGAACGUGACCUACAUGGUGGCAACGGCAGCACCAUAUUGCAGAAGUGUGUCCCAUGGCGGCGGAAAAUGCACUCUUUGCCAGUACUUGCAAAGAAACUUCUUUACUAGAGACCUGAAGUCAUCAUGGUUGUGUCGACAUUGCAGACGCGGGGGGUGGGGGUGGAGGAUCUUGUAAAAGCUGCAGCACACCCUUUUGCAAUUGCUUACAUGAGCUGGUCUAGGAACAGGUAUUCUCCCCGUAAUGUUGUAUGCUUGG